GGAAACUGUGGAGAUCAAUAAUGCAGUGAAUGCUAAAUGUAACAAGUGGGAGACCCAGCAGAAGGAAAGUGAGUUAAAGCAUUGGUAAGACUAAGAGGGAGAAGGAAGAGCCUAUGGCUCUCCAGGUGGCUGUGUUUCCAGCAGCUUCCCAGAUUUAACACCCUACUGCUGUGAGUACCUCUAGCUUCUCUAGUUAAACAAGUCAGAGUAUGUCAUAACAGACCAAUGUCCUUCCUGAUGGACUAUUUGGUAGAAAUACCUCAGUGUGGACCUUGUCUAGUGCGGUCAGGUAUAGGUGAGCACCAGCAUUCAGUACUGAGCUCAAAUGCCUUGCUGACUCAGAUGUGACGCUGAGACUCGCAUCCCUCAAAGCACCAGGAUUCUUCAGAGGUGUGCUGUCAUGCAGAGGGCACUGGACCCAGUUCCACCAGCCUUCCCAAAAUCUGAUGGGGGAAUAAAGAUUGAGAAAGGGUUUCUGUAUUUUGAAUUUUUAAAAGAGGCCUCUAGACCACUAUUGCUCCUUUGUCACUUUGAAAGGACCCUGGGACAUCCCUUCUGACCUCGCAGAUGAUACAGAUUCCCUUUCCAUGGGCUCCCUGUCCCCACGAUCCUGGCAGUUCUUGCUCAGGGGGCUGAGGAUCGUGCUUCUGGCUGAGGCAGGUGAUGAUCCCCCACCCAGAAUGGUCUGAGGCCCAAGGGGAGCUAAAAACAUCAAGCCUGGAGAUGUGACUGAGAUCUCCACCUAAACCAGGGCUGAGAAACGGUGGCACCACCAUGUACACCUCUUCAAGCAAAAAAGUAAAUAAAUAAAAAUCCAUUAGUGUGCAUAUUAAAUACAUUGUUUUUGGUUUUCUGCCUCACAGUUGACCUUUGUCUUAAGUAAAAUACUGUUCUGUGCAAACUUUCAGUAAAACUGAAACUUCAGUUUCUCCUCCCAUGGUAUAGACUCUAGGUCUUACUUUCCAGAAUUCAUUAUUCUUUCUUCAAGAAAGAACAUCUUUAUUUUCAACAUUUUGUGUGCUUGAAGUAGCUGAAAUUUUCAUGUAAUGUUUGGGAGCAACAGUAGCUAUGCACUUUUUAAAAAUCUCUUUUGACGGUCUCCAUAAGCUUUCUAAUAUACUUUGAAAUUAUUUUGGAUUCUCUGUGUUUCCAACAAAUCAAAGCCAAUACAGAUCAUAUGUUGUAUUAAGCACUUGAUCUCCCCCCAAAAAUUCAGCUACUUUUUCCUCAAUGGCCUGUCCAAACAAUGAAUUAGUUUCUUCAUUAACUGGAUAACAAAGGCCAGUCACAACAUAUGUUUUCUUUCUUUUGAAGUGCUCUCUUAAAAAUUCAGCUUACAUUCAGAUGUUUACCCGUUUAAAAAAUAGUUUCCUCUGAGAGAAAUGUAUCUAGGGAAUUUUAAAAUGUUUUAUCAUUGCUGUAAAUUUAGUAACACAUAGAAGCAGGAACACCAGUAAAAUUUGAAAAUUAAGGGAACUUGAACAGUAGUAUGUUCUGUGUAUAAUGCUUCCUCAUUCCCUGAAGUGUAUCUUUUUAAAAAGUGCUUUGAAUAAUGGCCAUAGUUACGGAUAAAUGUUAGUGAAAGCACAUACUAAAAUUCUGAUCGAAAGAGUCAAACUUCUAAUUGCACAGAAACAUGCAGAAAUUUGUAAAGGAAUUAGAGGAACAAUGUUUAAAAUGUAGUUAUGAGAAUUCAGACUCAUAGACAUGAAUACUCUUAAUUUUCACAGAGCUGUUUGUCUAAUGAAGAGGGAGGCUUUAAAAAUAGCACAAUAUAUAUUUUUAAUAUUAACUGUUGUCUAAGAAUUAAAAGUGCUGUAAAAGGUGUAGUGCCAGAAUCAAAAUGCUUUAAGUAAUCAGCCUGUUGUCAAAGGAAUGUUUUGUGAUGUUCUGCAACCCUAAGACAAUAAAGUUGUAACAGUUGUGAAACUAUUUUUUGACUGGUUUAGGUCAA